rnacentral:rRNA from 1 species
GAUGAACGCUAGCGGCAGGCUUAACACAUGCAAGUCGAACGGUGACGAGGAGCUUGCUCCUCCGAUCAGUGGCGAACGGGUGAGUAACACGUGAGUAACCUGCCCCAGACUCUGGGAUAACAGUUGGAAACAGCUGCUAAUACCGGAUACGAGACGGAGAGGCAUCUCUACCGUCUGGAAAGUUUUUCGGUCUGGGAUGGACUCGCGGCCUAUCAGCUUGUUGGUGAGGUAAUGGCUCACCAAGGCGACGACGGGUAGCCGGCCUGAGAGGGCGACCGGCCACACUGGGACUGAGACACGGCCCAGACUCCUACGGGAGGCAGCAGUGGGGAAUAUUGCACAAUGGGCGAAAGCCUGAUGCAGCGACGCCGCGUGAGGGAUGACGGCCUUCGGUUGUAACCUCUUCUAGCAGGAAGAAGCGAAAGUGACGGUACCUGCAGAAGAAGCACCGGCUAACUACGUGCCAGCAGCGCGGUAGCU